rnacentral:rRNA from 1 species
GAUGAACGCUGGCGGCGUGCUUAACACAUGCAAGUCGAACGAUGAAGCCCAGCUUGCUGGGUGGAUUAGUGGCGAACGGGUGAGUAACACGUGAGUAACCUGCCCUUAACUCUGGGAUAAGCCUGGGAAACUGGGUCUAAUACCGGAUAGGAGCGCCUACCGCAUGGUGGGUGUUGGAAAGAUUUAUCGGUUUUGGAUGGACUCGCGGCCUAUCAGCUUGUUGGUGAGGUAAUGGCUCACCAAGGCGACGACGGGUAGCCGGCCUGAGAGGGUGACCGGCCACACUGGGACUGAGACACGGCCCAGACUCCUACGGGAGGCAGCAGUGGGGAAUAUUGCACAAUGGGCGAAAGCCUGAUGCAGCGACGCCGCGUGAGGGAUGACGGCCUUCGGGUUGUAAACCUCUUUCGGUAGGGAAGAAGCGAGAGUGACGGUACCUGCAGAAGAAGCACCGGCUAACUACGUG